rnacentral:rRNA from 1 species
GACGAACGCUGGCGGCGUGCUUAACACAUGCAAGUCGAACGGAAAGGCCCCUUUGGGGGUACUCGAGUGGCGAACGGGUGAGUAACACGUGAGUAACCUGCCCUUGACUUCGGGAUAACUUCAGGAAACUGGGGCUAAUACCGGAUAGGAAUCCUUGCUGCAUGGUGGGGGUUGGAAAGCUUCGGCGGUUUUGGAUGGACUCGCGGCUUAUCAGCUUGUUGGUGGGGUAGUGGCUUACCAAGGCUUUGACGGGUAGCCGGCCUGAGAGGGCGACCGGCCACAUUGGGACUGAGAUACGGCCCAGACUCCUACGGGAGGCAGCAGUGGGGAAUAUUGCACAAUUGGCGGAAGCCUGAUGCAGCAACGCCGCGUGCGGGAUGACGGCCUUCGGGUUGUAAACCGCUUUCAGCAGGGGCGAAGCUUGUGGUGACGGUACCUGCAGAAGAAGCACCGGCUAACUACGUG